GCAGUCAUUGCCGAGUGGUUAUAAGGCGAUAAACUAGAAAUCCAUAAGGGUCUCCCCGCACAAAUCCAAAUCCUGUCGACUGCG
rnacentral:tRNA from 1 species